CUUUCGUGCGGUGAUUCCGUUACCAAUCGAGAUACCUGAAGCUUACUGAUGGCCUCAAUAUUCGGUAACAAAUAUGUGCUUAUCAUUAAAGCAAAGAUGUGCACUGAUACUAGGACGGUUGUGCAAACAGCGAACAUUACAAACAGCCACUCCGGUACCGCGUUUGGAUCGUUUAUUUGCAGUUCUACCAUAGCCACCUGAAAGUCAGAAAAAAGAACACCAAUACAAUGAAUCAUAUUUUUGCACGUUAGGUACAUGGGUAAUCGAUUCAACAAGUUGCAUGCUUUAAACAUAUAUGCUUUGCAGAUAUAAUAUGAAUUCGUCAUAUUUUACAAUGUAUAGAAUGAAUUACCAUAUAAUGCCCGCGCAUGAUAUAUUGUUAAAGAAAGUAGUAUUUGUCUUACAUAAUCGUAGAUGAGGCUGAAGAUUACACAGAAUUGUCGUUCGCGUCUGUUUAAUGAUUUUCAGGAAACGUUGUGUAAUCCCCGGCGGAUUUUCUGAUUAUACAAACAUAGAUUUCUUGGAAAAUUUUACUCUGCGAAGAAUUCGCGACUGUGACCGUUUCAAACAUGUACCAUCAUGAAUAUUCGCGUGGAUACUUGUCGCGACUCGAUUAACCAUCGGUAUUUUAUAGUUACAUCAUAGACUGACAGGAAUGUACACGAACCCUGCAAAGACACGCUGUCUCCUCUCUAAAAAUGAUGUGAAAACUUGUUGGCAUACCUUCAGUUGCUUUCAAUUUAGCGCGACUCAUGUGGAGUCUUCUCCACGAGAGGCCUUCAGGACCAUCAUGAUCCUCUUGUUGAGGUGUUGGUUGUACCUGGGAUCCUGCACACGUACAGCAACAUGCAUAUGGCACAUUGUUGGGGAUGUGACUGUUCGAAUGGAGAUUUGAGUAUGGAAGACUGCCCAUUGACCUCAUGUCCAAGGCCACGUAGCGAUUGUUUCUACUCCUCGGCGACAGGACUAAUUCGCUCUGAGAAGUGUACAAGGUACUCUUGGAGUUGUAAUGAGAAUAGUUAGCGUCGUUGAUUUGAGUAUGCUUGGGCAAAUAGGCUAAAGAAGUAGGUCUACUUCUGUGGGCACCAUGGGAUAAUUGAAUAAAAUCAAUUUGAGUACAUUUGUCCGCUUUGCCCGCUAUCUCUUCGUUGCUCCUACAUGUUGAGAUGGUGCUGCUCCUACCAUGCCUUUCAUCGUGAUUGGGAACGCUGUUUCGUUUGGCCAGAUCUUUUUCAAUGCCAUUAUCAUUCGACAUAUUGCAGUGUAUAACGUCUCCUACUCAUUUAAACUUGUAUGCUCCUUAGAAUACCGAAGCUAGCUACCAGAUUCUCCUCCUAUAUUAUUGACGCUUCCUUCUGCGGUACGGGGAGUCAAAGAAUCGUGGCACUAUUUUCACGAAUGUUCAAUGUUAUCAUUGUUUCAUUCCCAACGGAUUGAGUCACUGCCAUUGCACGUUCACACAAUCACACAGGAACAACGUUAUGUUGAUAUGAACUGCGUUGCGGAGCGUCUCUUUUCUCAGGAUGCUAUUUAGAAGCACUAGAACAGUUCUGGAACAAGCGAGUACUGCAAGUCUUUAAUUAAAAAGUAAUUCAAACAGAUAUCACCAAUUAGUUGAUCCACUUGCGUUUUGUAGCGCGUUUUCUUGCAUACUGUAACACGAACCGCACUAAACCGAAAUGAAUCUUGCUGAGAAGCGGUACAUCUUUUGGGAAAUUGUCUGGUUGCUCUAAAAGCAAUCUAAAGCUGCUCCAUAGUGCCCGGAACCGAAGCGAGUUGCCAGCGGUCUCCACGGCAGAACACUGACCGAAGGCUGGCGUCGCAUCGCCGAGGAAUACACAUGACGUAUCCGACUGAAUCAUAACAAUAGUAUUAAUUGCCUUCAAGGCAUAUCGGCUACAUAAUAACCACUGUGUAGUCCUAGCGUACGUGCAUGACUGCCAUCGCUCUGUGUAUCCCCGCGAUUCUCCUCUCUAGAAUGUCUAUCGCGAAACGCGACUGCGGCCAAUGACGUUUGUGCUCCUGACUUUGAAACAAAAGAUAAGACAGCACCGGUGAACGUAACCGGUGCAGGUACUCAAAUGCUAGGCUACAACAACGUUAAUGAUUCGGAUAGCAACAUCGAGUUUUUGUCAGGGAUCAGCAGUGCAUUUGAAAUUUUUCUAACCGCGCUCAUAAAUCACAAUGACUGCACCAUUGUACACUGAUGUUUUGUAAUAUCCUGGUUAGCACGCGUAUCCUCUUCAUAUUAUCUUUUUCUAUUUAUAGAAUAGUAGAUAGUAUUAAUUUUUAUUUUUACAAAAAGAAAAAAAUGAAGACAUCAAUUGUUCCAUUUAUUACAAACACUUCGAACGUUUUGUGCCAUCUAAUGCUUAUUGUUGGGGAAAUCAGUUAGAAUUUCCACAACAAUAGAAAAAUAAGGAGUUAUGAAAGAACGACCGUUUAUUAGUCGUAACCAGAACCGCUAUUAUUCACUUAGAUAGCUCUAACAUCUGGUAGAGUCAAAAACAAGUUUCUUCUCGGGAAGAUUGCAAAUUUUUAAUGUACCUACUUUAUUAAACAUGUUUAUUUUGUUUUGUUUGAAUUGUGCAGAAUGACUGUGCAGCCCAAGUUCCAAGUGGUAACGCUAAUGCGUGUCAUUAACAAUUUACUGGAAAAAUUUUAUCUAUCAGCAGUUGAUUUACAUGCGUAAUUACGCGGACAAUUUAGCGGGAAUUGUAAGGAUUGUUGUUCAGGGAACCGAUGAUUACAUCUUCACAUUUGUGUGUACAAUUCAUUCUUACGAUUGUGCAUAACUCAUCAUGCGUUUGGAGAGUUGGACGUGAGGUGUUAUAGGAACUGGAAAGUUAAAGCUCGAAUAAAGAAUAAUCUAGUGGAGGAAAA